rnacentral:lncRNA from 1 species
UCAUCAUAAAUAUAUAUUAAAGAAGAAUGUACUUAAAGAAAAAAGUAUUAUAGAUGAGAGCUGUACUCAAUUUUCGAUAACUAUGAUGUAGUAUAGCCAAGCAGAAAAAUAAGUGCUAAUAGUGUUGUGCUUAAAGGUCCCCUAAUUUUAAACUAUAAAGAUUAUAAAAAACUUAGUAGGUUCAAGCACCCAAUAGAGGUUGCAUCAAACAAAUAGCAUGCAUACAAGAAAUAUCAUCAAAAGAGAUAUAACAUUCAAACAUGCAAGGCAAAUAUUAAUAAAAGCUACAUCUUUUUGAUUAAAUAGUGUUAUACUUUGAUGGAAUUCUUUUCUUGUGACUUACUGCAUGGUUGUACUUUAUACAGAUCGAUAAUUUUAAAGCUACAUCAAUGUUUUAGAUCAUCUAAAAAAGAGCAAUUUGAUGACUACAUAGGCUCACCAGUGUUUUAGAUCAUAUACCUAUAAUUCUGUUAUGAUGUAUUUUGGCUUGGAUAGGUAUCAUAUGUAAGCGAUAUAUAUGAUAUGUUCAGUCAUUAAGAUAUAAAGAAAUAUGAUUAUACAUAGUUAUAAAUAAAUGAAUUACUCCUAUAUAAUGAUACAAUUUGUUCUAUUUAGCU